GAUCCUGGCUCAGGACGAACGCUGGCGGCACGCCUAACACAUGCAAGUCGAACGGAGAUAAAGACUUCGGUUUUUAUCUUAGUGGCGGACGGGUGAGUAACACGUGAGCAACCUGCCUCUGAGAGAGGGAUAGCUUCUGGAAACGGAUGGUAAUACCUCAUAACAUAGCGGUACCGCAUGAUACUGCUAUCAAAGAUUUAUCGCUCAGAGAUGGGCUCGCGUCUGAUUAG
rnacentral:rRNA from 1 species